rnacentral:lncRNA from 1 species
GGGGAUUAAAGUCCGUGCUAUCCAUUAACACAGACGUACCCUUGACCCAACACUGUGUCUGCAGUAAAACUCCCUGUAACAGAACAGUCACAAUCCCAGUAGACUGCAUGCAUUCAUGGAGUACUGCAGCUACUGCAUACACAUUCUACUCCAACAAUAAUCCAAGAAGGGAAGGAAUGUGCAUGAAUUGCCGAGGUGAGUAUCUCCAGAGAGGACGCCUUUAACACCGGAGCGGAGGGAAGCACAGCGUCCCGGAGCCUCAGUUCGGAGCCGCAAGAACCACCGAGGGAGCCUCAAGUCCUCGACAGGACUUGCCCAGGAGCCGGCAGCUCAGCUGACGCGAGCAGCUGACUCACAGGGGGCGGUGCCAGGAGUGGCGGCACCAGCCCUCAGUGGGGAAAAACCCAUCCCAGGGAGCGCGAGCGACCGGGAGCGCGGCGACCAGGGCGGGCAAACAGGGCGUGGCACGUCAGUCAGGGCGUGGCGCGGCAGUUGGCGCAGGCAGGGCGAGCGGGCAGCGAGCGGGAUGGUAAGCACUCGCCUCAGGACCCGGGCCCGCUCUGGGAGCUCUGCCCCGGCGGUGGCCAGCCUAGGCACCCAGACAGAGCCGAUGAGAGGGGAGGCUGCGGCUCAGAGCUCGGAGUGUAGAAAGUGCCUCGACUGGUCUCUUGAGGCGAGGGUGCACAAUGGACAGGGCUGCACUCGGUGCGCCCUGGUGGAGGUCCUCCUGCAGCAGGUGGCUGAGCUGCGGGAGGCUGUUGGAGAGCUAAAAGAUGCCAAGGAAGCUGAGAGGAAGCUGGGCUGCUUGCUCCAGGCCCAAACUGUGCAGGGGCUGCAAACGUCCAGCGUUGCUCAUAUAGGAAGGAAGGAAGGAGGGCAGCAACCCAGGAAGCUGGGAAUUAGUCACGAGAAAAA